AUGGGCCGCCGUGCCGAGGCUGAGGCCCGGGGGGUCGGGAGGUGGCAGCACGGGCACUGCAUGACCCUUGCUCUGAGGGAACUCUGCCGGCUCCUCAGAGGGGUCUCCGGGCCGGACGGCUCCGGACAGAGCAGGGCAGAACAGGAGAGGAGGGGACACGCCAGGCCGGGCCAGGCCAGGCCGCUCCGGCACCGCCGCCGCGCUCGUUACAUANCACGGCGCUCGCAGCGCCCCGGCGGGGGCCGUGUGCGGGGUCCUAGUUGUUUGGGUUUGUUUUUCCCGUAUUUAUUUUCCUAUUUCUUCCCCUCAAGCGGCAAAAGACAAACGCCGACAAAAAGUGUCUGAAAAAUUGGAACUGAGAUCAGAAGAUUUUUCUGUUCACGUGGGAUAUCUACAAUGGGGAUAAACAGCCUGGUACAGAAGAGUCUUGUAGGUGAAAAGCUGGAUGGAGAGAGAUCUAAGGAAAGACAAUGCAGAAGAAAACUAUCAAAACAAAGAAUACGUGGAGAGUAUUGACUUGUUCUGCAAGAGUGUGACGUUUUAAAUUUGAACAUUAAUUUGUGACUGAAAAAGGCCUCUGUGCUAGAAUAUCUGCUGCAGUGACCAGUCAUUCUGAAGUGAUAUGAGGAAGAUCCAAGUUCUAAAGCAGCCAGUGGGCUUGGUGGUACUUGUUGAUACAAAUGUGUGGUUGAGUUUUUGACUGGGUGGAAACUACUUUAUGGUGUGCUGAACAUAAGGACUGAUGAUCAGCAUUAAUUUAAAUUUAAACUGUAACAUUCAGUAUCUUUCUCUAAAUGGAAUCUAACCUGAAUCAGCUGCACAAAGUCCAAUUUUAAUUACUGCAUUUUCUGAAGAUAAAUACAUAGUUUGAUGUUGUCUUAUGUAAGUCUGUCUUGAAUUGAUAAAGGAGAAAAGAUGUCCUUUUAAAGAAAGCUGAAUCCAAGUGUGUAUUUAAAUUGACGUACUACAAAUUACAUUGUAAGAUUGGGGAAUUUUCAUUCCCCAAACAGCUUGUGGGGUUUUUGUUUUUGUCUCAGAGUUUUUUUUUUGGGGGGGAGGGGUGGAGGUGGAGUAUUUUUUUGGUUUAUUG
rnacentral:lncRNA from 1 species